CACUUCGAGUGAGUAAGAUCCCUCAGAGACGAUGAGGUUGAUAGGUCCGAGGUGGAAGCGUGGUGACACGUGGAGCUGACGGAUACUAAUUGAUCGAGGACUUGACUAGAUA
rnacentral:rRNA from 1 species